UUCUCAAACUCCUGAGCUCAAAGCAGUCCACCCACCUUGGCCUCCCAGAGUUCUGGGAUUACAGGUGUGAGCCAUCUUGCUCAUUCUAGUUUAAACUUUUGAGUGGUUUGUGUCUCCUGAUUGGACUCCUACAAAUACAGAAUUGAUGCUAGGAAGGGUACCAGGAGAUAGACGCACACAGAUGGGAUUUGGGAAUAGGUUUGGUUAUCCAAGGAGCAGUGCUGAGCUCCUUGCAAUGGGAUAUGGGAUGCUGGUGAUUUCCAGGAAGUGCGCUCACAAUGACUCAAGCUGCCACAUACUGUUGAUUGUGAAAUGCCAGUUGAAGCAUAUGUCCUGCAAGCUUAGGGGUGCUACAAGUUGACCACUGCAGCAGUAAAGAUGACUCUGAAGAAUGGCGUGGGAUGGUUCCUUUCAAAUGCACUUGAGCAGCGGUCUCCAACCACAGGGCCACAGAGCUGGAGGUGGACAGUCUAGUUGCAGGAAAACAAGCUCAGAGAUCCCACUGAGUCUACAUUAUACUGGAUCUACCAUGAAAGACUUGUGAAUCCAGGAAGAGAGACUGACUGGGCAACAUGUUAUUCAGGUACAAAAAGAUUUGGACUGUAACUUAAAAAUGAUCAAAUUAUGUUUCCCAUGCAUCAGGUGCAAUGGGAAGCUCUUCUGGAGAGUGAGAGAAGCUUCCAGUUAAGGUGACAUUGAAGCCAAGUCCUGAAAGAUGAGGAAGAGUUGUAUGAGAGUGGGGAGGGAAGGGGGAGGUGGAGGGAUGGGGAAUGGGCCGGGAUGGGAUAGCGCAAACUGCCCGGGAAGGGACACCAGCACUGUACAGACCUGAACAAUGAAGAUGGCAUAUUUUGUUCAGGGAAUGGUGAAUUAAGUGUGGCAGGAAUGCUUU
rnacentral:lncRNA from 1 species